rnacentral:rRNA from 1 species
AGUUACGGAGCGUGGCGGGUGGUGGCUCCUGGAUUCAGCGGCGGACGGGUGAGUAAUGCCUAGGAAUCUGCCGUGGUGAGUGGGGGAUAACGUCCGGAAACGGGCGCUAAUACCGCAUACGUCCUGAGGGAGAAAGUGGGGGAUCUUCGGACCUCACGCUAUCAGAUGAGCCUAGGUCGGAUUAGCUAGUUGGUGGGGUAAAGGCCUACCAAGGCGACGAUCCGUAACUGGUCUGAGAGGAUGAUCAGUCACACUGGAACUGAGACACGGUCCAGACUCCUACGGGAGGCAGCAGUGGGGAAUAUUGGACAAUGGGCGAAAGCCUGAUCCAGCCAUGCCGCGUGUGUGAAGAAGGUCUUCGGAUUGUAAAGCACUUUAAGUUGGGAGGAAGGGCAGUAAGUUAAUACCUUGCUGUUUUGACGUUACCAACAGAAUAAGCACCGGCUAACUUCGUGCCAGCAGCCGCGGUAAUACGAAGGGUGCAAGCGUUAAUCGGAAUUACUGGGCGUAAAGCGCGCGUAGGUGGUUCAGCAAGUUGGAUGUGAAAUCCCCGGGCUCAACCUGGGAACUGCAUCCAAAACUACUGAGCUAGAGUACGGUAGAGGGUGGUGGAAUUUCCUGUGUAGCGGUGAAAUGCGUAGAUAUAGGAAGGAACACCAGUGGCGAAGGCGACCACCUGGACUGAUACUGACACUGAGGUGCGAAAGCGUGGGGAGCAAACAGGAUUAGA